CAGGCUUAACACAUGCAAGUCGAGGGGCAGCAUGGUCUUUGCUUGCUAAGACUGAUGGCGACCGGCGCACGGGUGAGUAACACGUAUCCAACCUGCCGUCUACUCUUGGACAGCCUUCUGAAAGGAAGAUUAAUACAAGAUGGCAUCAUGAGUCCGCAUGUUCACAUGAUUAAAGGUAUUCCGGUAGACGAUGGGGAUGCGUUCCAUUAGAUAGUAGGCGGGGUAACGGCCCACCUAGUCUUCGAUGGAUAGGGGUUCUGAGAGGAAGGUCCCCCACAUUGGAACUGAGACACGGUCCAAACUCCUACGGGAGGCAGCAGUGAGGAAUAUUGGUCAAUGGGCGAGAGCCUGAACCAGCCAAGUAGCGUGAAGGAUGACUGCCCUAUGGGUUGUAAACUUCUUUUAUAAAGGAAUAAAGUCGGGUAUGCAUACCCGUUUGCAUGUACUUUAUGAAUAAGGAUCGGCUAACUCCGUGCCAGCAGCCGCGGUAAUACGGAGGAUCCGAGCGUUAUCCGGAUUUAUUGGGUUUAAAGGGAGCGUAGAUGGAUGUUUAAGUCAGUUGUGAAAGUUUGCGGCUCAACCGUAAAAUUGCAGUUGAUACUGGAUAUCUUGAGUGCAGUUGAGGCAGGCGGAAUUCGUGGUGUAGCGGUGAAAUGCUUAGAUAUCACGAAGAACUCCGAUUGCGAAGGCAGCCUGCUAAGCUGCAACUGACAUUGAGGCUCGAAAGUGUGGGUAUCAAACAGGAUUAGAUACCCUGGUAGUCCACACGGUAAACGAUGAAUACUCGCUGUUUGCGAUAUACUGCAAGCGGCCAAGCGAAAGCGUUAAGUAUUCCACCUGGGGAGUACGCCGGCAACGGUGAAACUCAAAGGAAUUGACGGGGGGCCCGCACAAGCGGAGGAACAUGUGGUUUAAUUCGAUGAUACGCGAGGAACCUUACCCGGGCUUAAAUUGCAGAUGAAUUACGGUGAAAGCCGUAAGCCGCAAGGCAUCUGUGGAGGUGCUGCAUGGUUGUCGUCAGCUCGUGCCGUGAGGUGUCGGCUUAAGUGCCAUAACGAGCGCAACCCUUGUUGUCAGUUACUAACAGGUUCCGCUGAGGACUCUGACAAGACUGCCAUCGUAAGAUGUGAGGAAGGUGGGGAUGACGUCAAAUCAGCACGGCCCUUACGUCCGGGGCUACACACGUGUUACAAUGGGGGGUACAGAGGGCCGCUACCACGCGAGUGGAUGCCAAUCCCCAAAACCUCUCUCAGUUCGGACUGGAGUCUGCAACCCGACUCCACGAAGCUGGAUUCGCUAGUAAUCGCGCAUCAGCCACGGCGCGGUGAAUACGUUCCCGGGCCUUGUACACACCGCCCGUCAAGCCAUGGGAGCCGGGGGUACCUGAAGUGCGUAACCGCGAGGAGCGCCCUAGGGUAAAACUGGU
rnacentral:rRNA from 1 species